rnacentral:rRNA from 1 species
ACACAUGCAAGUCGAGGGGCAGCGGGAUUGAAGCUUGCUUCAAUUGCCGGCGACCGGCGCACGGGUGAGUAACGCGUAUCCAACCUUCCGUACACUCAGGGAUAGCCUUUCGAAAGAAAGAUUAAUACCUGAUGGUAUGAUGAGAUUGCAUGAUAGCAUCAUUAAAGAUUCAUCGGUGUACGAUGGGGAUGCGUUCCAUUAGGUAGUAGGCGGGGUAACGGCCCACCUAGCCUACGAUGGAUAGGGGUUCUGAGAGGAAGGUCCCCCACAUUGGAACUGAGACACGGUCCAAACUCCUACGGGAGGCAGCAGUGAGGAAUAUUGGUCAAUGGACGAGAGUCUGAACCAGCCAAGUAGCGUGAAGGAUGAAGGUCCUACGGAUUGUAAACUUCUUUUAUAAGGGAAUAAAACCUCCCACGUGUGGGAGCUUGUAUGUACCUUAUGAAUAAGCAUCGGCUAACUCCGUGCCAGCAGCCGCGGUAAUACGGAGGAUGCGAGCGUUAUCCGGAUUUAUUGGGUUU